AGUGAACGCUGGCGGUAGGCCUAACACAUGCAAGUCGAACGGCAGCACAGUAAGAGCUUGCUCUUACGGGUGGCGAGUGGCGGACGGGUGAGGAAUACAUCGGAAUCUACUUUUUCGUGGGGGAUAACGUAGGGAAACUUACGCUAAUACCGCAUACGACCUACGGGUGAAAGCAGGGGAUCUUCGGACCUUGCGCGAUUGAAUGAGCCGAUGUCGGAUUAGCUAGUUGGCGGGGUAAAGGCCCACCAAGGCGACGAUCCGUAGCUGGUCUGAGAGGAUGAUCAGCCAAACUGGAACUGAGACACGGGCCAGACUCCUAAGGGAGGCAGCAGUGGGGAAUAUUGGACAAUGGGCGCAAGCCUGAUCCAGCCAUACCGCGUGGGUGAAGAAGGCCUUCGGGUUGUAAAGCCCUUUUGUUGGGAAAGAAAAGCAGCAGGUUAAUACCCCGCUGUUCUGACGGUACCCAAAGAAUAAGCACCGGCUAACUUCGUG
rnacentral:rRNA from 1 species